UAUGGCUUCAGUCCUGGCAACUUCAACAGCUUCCCCUCUCCCUGCACAGUAUUAACACAGUUGCGCUCAGUGCUGGAACACCCUCAAUAAACAGAGGAAAGCUGCCAGGCUCUGCUCCCUGAAGGGUUCGAGGCUCUGUGGCUCCGCCUGUCAGCUCGGGGUGUGUUAACCCCCUGGCACGGCUCUGCUCAGGGCUGCUGGGGCUGCCCGAGCCUGGCCACAGUCUGCCAGAGGAGGAAUCCUCCAGGGCGGCCUUGUCCUGUGGGGUCAUGCUGUGGAGAUGAGGUCCUGCCGUCACAGCUCCAAGGUUUCAGUGGUGGCACCAGGAGCGGAGCCUCUGCCCGCAGAACGUCUCCCUACAGAGUGGCUGCUCCAGCUCUAUUGGACUGCCAUGGUUGUACCUCACAGAAACAGAAAACUCCAGGAAACAUCUGUGGGAUCUGAUUGUCCCCACCAGCUCCCAUUCAUCAUCAAAAACUGGAGGCUGCAGGUCUGCUCCUGUGGCUCAGCUGAAGCCAGAGACAAAUGUCAGCUGCUGUGUGAUGACUAAGUCUCACAUGCUUAUUGCUCCUAUCACUUAGAACUCUUAAUCACUCUGUGCUGUUUCAUCCUAUAAUAAGAAUUCACUUCAAGCUGUGAAAUUCACCAUUUUUGCCAUGACUAAUUUGUGAAAUCUGCCAUCUUUCUUUGUGGUUCAUGUUGUGCCCUAGUUAGGCAUCAUCUGUCUGAUUAGGGAAGUCUGGGAUUUGUUUCUUGCAGUUGAGUCAAUACAAUUUUAUCCCCCUCCUUUCUUCUCUCUGCGCUCAAGUGCAAUUUCGCUGUCGCCCGUGCCCUUGGAUGCACGGAGGCUGGAGUGGCGUGGAGACCACCUCUGCUGGGGCUCACACACACGAGUCCUGGCUCUCCUUCUCUACAGAACACGUGCCUGGGGCUCAGCCUGGGCCUUUAACCCUGCCUUUGCUUGAAGCUACUAGGUCUGCUAUGUUUACCAUCUUCCUAGAUUUCUCCCAGCCUGGUUGCUGCAAUAUUUUGGAAAUCGUUUCCCACCUGCUUUGCCUGUGCCUUGUUUCACGAUACAUUCAUCUGUUACUCUUUACAUUGAAUGUUAUUGGCAUUACUAAAUGCUAUAAAUAUACCCAGUAUUCCACAAAAA